GGGAUUAGAUACCCCACUAUGCUUAGCCUUAAACCUAGAUGUUAAAUUUACAAGCAACAUCCGCCAGGGUACUACAAGCGCUAGCUUAAAACCCAAAGGACUUGACGGUGUCUCAGACCCACCUAGAGGAGCCUGUUCUAGAACCGAUAAUCCCCGUUAAACCUCACCACCCCUUGUUUAACCCGCCUAUAUACCGCCGUCGCAAGCUUACCCUGUGAAGGUUUCAUAGUAAGCAAAAUGGGUAAAUCCCAGAACGUCAGGUCGAGGUGUAGCUUACGAGGUGGGAAGAAAUGGGCUACAUUUUCUACAUCAGAAUAAUACGAACAGCACCAUGAAAUCUAGUGCUCGAAGGUGGAUUUAGUAGUAAAAAACAAAUAGAGAGUCUUUUUGAACCAGGCUCUGAGACGCGCACACACCGCCC
rnacentral:rRNA from 1 species